rnacentral:lncRNA from 1 species
CUCAGUGCCUGACGGCAGCAGCUCAGGGAGCAGAGGGAGACCUUGCUGUUGCUCCUCGCAAGCGAGUCUCUCAGGGCUUUUGCAAAUUUGCACUUUCUAGGUGUCCUGGGGGCUCAUUCAGCCCUCACCCUCAGCCUGGGUGAGUCCCUGGUCCUCUCCAGGAGCUUUCUGCUGGUGGCAGUCCUCUUACAGCUGUCACUACUGUCCCUGGGCUCUGGAUGACGCUGUCCUGUGCAGCCUCUAGGUUCUCAUCUCAUUUCCUGGCCUCCCUUCCCCAGCAUGAGAAGGCGAACAAAAUCCCCAGGAAACAUCUGAGUUCUCCAGGUGAGUCCUCCAGACCCGUCGGUAGUCAGUUUCCAUCAAUAGCCAAGUGACCCGGGCUCUUUGGUUAUGACAGGACUGUCCCAGUGUGGGGUUCUAGUUAUCGGCCCUGUUCCUUUGGGUCUGCAGCCCGUCCAGGCAGAGCAAAACCUCAUGGCCAGGAAGCAAAAGAGGCAGGGGCCGGGGCCCCCUGAUCCCUUCGGGGACAUGUCCUCAAUAUUCCAGCACCCGCCCCCCAGGCCCCAGCUCCCCGAGGUGCCCUGACCUCCCAGCAGCCCCAGGACCAAGCCCUCAACACGUGGACUUUUGGGGGACAUUUCUGUCCAGAUCACAGCACACAUCCCUUCCUUUCCCCAAAUCCAUGUGUCCCUCUCACACUUGAUCACCUAAUUUCUAUCCUGGGGUUAAAUCCUCGCAUCAGGACCUUGAACACAUUCUGGAAGAAAACUUGUCUCACUUUCCCGUGUGUCCCGUGGAAAGUCCACACCGCAGUCGAGGCAGCGUGUUCGGAUCUCAUCCCUGACUUUGAAAGACAUGAACGACUCCGCUCUAGCUGUUGGAAUUUCCUAUCACCCGCCCCCGACCUUGAACUUGGGCUUCCUUGGUGGACUCUGUCUCAUGGGAGUAGAUCGUAUUUUUAUCAUUGGAAAUCUUUCAUUGAUCAUCACUGCAGUAAGGGCGUGUAUAUAUUGAAACCGAAAAUGUACCAAGGUCCCUGACCAUGAAGUUUCAAUUGUCAAAUGUGUGGCUCUGAAUUCAGAUUCCAUUGUAAUGGUGAGCAGUGGCCACGUCCUGCUGGGGCUCAGACCCUGGGAAGCAGAUUCGGGAUCCUGGCAGGUGAAACAGGAUGCAGGG